rnacentral:rRNA from 1 species
UACAGAGGUCCCAAGCGUUGUUCGGAUUCACUGGGCGUAAAGGGUGCGUAGGCGGUCGGGUAAGUCUGGCGUGAAAUCUCCAAGCCUAACUUGGAACUGCGUUGGAUACUAUCCGGCUCGAGGAAUGGAGGGGAGACUGGAAUACUUGGUGUAGCAGUGAAAUGCGUAGAGAUGCGGAGGAACACCGAUGGCGAAGGCAGCCCCCUGGGCUAACACUGACGCUCAGGCACGAAAGCGUGGGGAGCAAACAGG